GUCCCCGUAGUUCAACGGAUAGAACGAGGCCCUCCUAAAGCCUAGAAGUAGGUUCAAUUCCUGCCGGGGACA
rnacentral:tRNA from 1 species